CUCUCGUUCCCAUCAGCGGGGUCGGCGCAAGCGUCUGCACUACCUCCUCCCUCUGCCGCGAGCAGAACUCUGGACGCCAGGCCUUCUGUUUCCGCUGUAUAGGUGCCACCGCCCACAGGGCCCACCAAGGCUACCCCUCCCGCCUCAGCGCCUCAAGCCGGCCCGCUCUCUUCCGCUUCCUCCAAGCUGUCCGACGGGCUGCUGCCCCGGGAUGUGACACGGAUGAAAGCCGACAGUUUGUCCCGCAGCGGGGGAAGUGCCUUGGCAGUUGAGAGCCAGCACCGAUGCGCUGCGAGAAUGCCUCAGAGCCACCUGUGGACAUUGCCACCCUGUCAGGUUAUCAGUGCAACCAGAGCAUUAUGGACGUUUUUGGGAAUUGGUCAAAUUGCGAGCUCUGGAAUUGGAGAAUUGGGACUUGCUGGAGAAGAUGGGAAUGCCUGGCGGCGGUAUUAUCAAGACGGUAGAUGCAGCGGCGGGAGACACGGGAAAGUCAAGCGGUUGUUCCAGCAUCUGCAGGAAGUAUGCAGAAGAGAAGGGGCAUAUUGUGUCCAUCUGUAUCCUUGGAGUUGAUGGUUCUUCUGAACAAGUAAAUAUGGGCAUUUCUUUGUGAAGACUUGACAUAAAAAUUGAAUUGCAAGAUGCAUCAAGCAGCCUGAACUGGUCCUUACAGGUCUGCAGGUCCCUGCCAGGAGCCUGCUUCAGCAAGGACUCCCAUGGGUUCACGGCCUCUUUUGGUCAUCUACCUGCUCCAGCAUGGGUCUCCUCCAUGGGCUGCAGGGGCACAGCUGCUUCACCAUGGUCUUCACCAUGGACUGCAGAGGAACCUCAAUUCCAGCACUUGAAGCACCUCCUCCCCCUCCUUCACCAAGGACCUGGGUGUCUGUAGAAUUGUCCCUCACAUAGUCUCACUUUUCUCUUCUCUGUCUCAAAUUAUACCUGUACAAUAAUUAUUUUCUUCUUCCUUAAUAUGCUACAACAGAGGCGUUACUGCCAUUUCUGAUUGGCCCAGCUUUGGCCAGUGGUGGAUGUGUCUUGGAGCCAGCUGGCAUUGCCUGUGCUGAACAUGGAGGAAACUUCUAGAGCUUCUCACAGCAGCCACCUCUGGAACCCUACCCCUGCUACUAAAACCUGGCCAUGCAAACCCUAUCCAUAAUGUUGGGCCCAGAAUUCUUGCAAUGUGCAUCUUAAUAGCUUAUUUUUCACUCCUAGGGAGAUAUUUCUCCUGAACCAGUGCUGGAGCUAUAGCUAAGCAGUUAUCCCAUUUAAAUUCUGGGCAUUUCUUUUUUCCCAGCAUCAAGUAGUAGCUUCUGAAAUAAACACUUCUCUUUGUAAAAAACAUUCAGGGAGCCUAUUAGUAUUUCAGUUGCUACCUGCUGACUGACUGUUGAAACACUUCCCCUAGUUGAAAAGCCCCUUCAUAGUGGCAAGUCAAUAAUAUUUCUACUCUUGCCAAUUGUGUUUUCAUGUUUGUUGUGUAAGAACUACACAGGCGUUUUCCCUGCUGUCUUUUCUUCUGCUAUCUAAACUUUUUUUCACCACUUUUAAUUUUCCUUACCACAGGUAAAAUAGGUCCAUGUUUUUCUACAUUUUAAAUUAAUCCAAAGACUGUGCACACAUCUCAUAAGGAGUCAAGAUAGAUUAAAGACCUGUUUGUUUGUGUCUUGGGGUGAUUUUAUGAUGAUACUCUAUCCCCUAAUCUUCUGCUCUAUGCCCAGAAAUGGUUGCUGUAGUUUUGAGAUGGGUCCUGGGGAGGGGUGGAAGCCUUGGGGGCUCUUGCCCAGGCUUUGUUCCAAGCCUCACUCCUGGACAUGCUUGGUGUGAUUUGGACUGACAUUACUUUGUUGCUUAACUAGCUUGGUUUUUUGUUAGCUUAAGCAAGAAGUUUCUUUCCCCUUUUCUUUGGCCUUGGAGACGGCAAUCCUUUGUCAGCUUUUAGUUUUUUUCUUGAACUGUUAGCUUGGUUUUGAUCCAAGAUCGGAGAGGUGAUCAGCUGGGGAUCUGCGGAGAGCUGUGAGGAGCUUUUCCAUCCUAGCCCCAGACCUCAGAAAAAGCCAGUGCAGCAAAGUACCCUGAAUCCACUCACUUCGUCUUCUGUGAGGAGGAGACCAACAUUGGAGAUUCAGCAGGAUGUGCUUCAAAGUGCCAUGGGCAUGAUCAACAAUGGCUUGGCCUACAGGGGAAUGAAGAAUGCCACUGAGAUGUGACACACCCCGUAACUGCAAGAAUUGAUGAAUUUUCUGUGAGAUAUAGGCAGGGCUGUUAUCAGUUUUAAUGGUGUGGAGAAUGCCUAGGACAGCAAAGGCUAGCUGCCUUUGUAAUAUGUAAUGUGUAAUAGCAUCAUGGCUUUUUUCUCAUAUAGUGGAUGAAGCCCAUAUAGUGGAUGAAGAGGUGCCUAUGCAAACAUGUACAUACUUUAGCCAACCAAAUUCAGAAAUGUGUGUAACAUCUCACUGCUAAAUUUGUAAGUCUCUGUCCUGGCUUGUAAAGUAGGCAUGUAUUCUAUUUUGCCAUCUGUUGGGGGUUGGGCAGUUUUUCUUAUCUCUUUCAAGAACAAUGACACUGCCAGGAAGAUAAUCUCCUGCUAAUGGGCUAUUGAAUUACUCACUGUGGCUGGUAAGAUUAGUUACAUCAUCCCAUUAAGAGAUGCUCCACCCAGAGGGAGGAGCCAAGCAUCCCUGCCACCAUAAAACAAGCAUUUCUGAGACCACAGACAGCCUUCUUCGCUGGAUUUCUCAGAGGAAUCAGGAACCAAGGCCCAGCUGCUCCUUUGCCACGUUUUCAGAAAGGAUCUACACCCUUCUGCAGAUCGCCGCUCCAGGAGGAGCAGCCACCAUCUGGCUGGACUACUAUCAACACCCUGACUUCUCAGGGUGUCAGGUUUUUCUCACUCUGCCAGUGGUUUUUUUUUGCUUGUGUUAAAUUACAUUGUUAUUUAGUUUUUUUUUUCCUUCCUAGUAAAAAAACUGUUAUUCCCAUUCCCAUAUCUUUGCCUGAGAGCCCUUUUAAUUCUGAAAUUGUGAUAAUUCGGAAGGAGGGGGUUUACCUUUUCCAUUUCACAGAAGGCUUUUUGCCUUCCUUCACAGACUCCUGUCUUUUCAAACCAAGACAGUCUCACAGACCACAGGGGUGUGCACUGAUGCAGUGUGGCCUUGACGAUCAGCAUAGGUAUUAACAUUGCAGGCCUUGGUAUUUGUUAACAAAAACUGUUUUUGUGAGGCCUGAACACUUUGGUGAAAAAAAAGCAUGUGAUGCUCUCGCUUGUGCCAGCAUGUGUGGGUGUGGUGCUGUCCAGGCAUGACUGGCUAACUAAUCAGCUUGUGCAUUACCUUCUACGAUUAAGCCAGGCAAAUUUGUAUGACUCUGAACAUGCGACACAUAAUAGGGACGAGUUCUGCCUUGGAUUGCAUGCCACAAAGUUUUUAACAAUUCAAAUAAUGCAGCAUUAUCAAUUUCUUUCAACAACGAUCAGUCCAAUCAUUGUGUGAUGUCUGCAAUAUAAGCAGAAUCAGUUACAAAAUUUAAGGGAACAUGAGGGAAACAUUGAAAAGCCAUGGCUACAGCACAUAAUUCCACUAACUGAGAUGAUCCGCUAUCGUGACCCUCUACUGUUUGCCAUCCAUUGACGUCUUUCCAGGUCACAAUGGCUUUUCCUGUUUUCCCAGACCCAUCAGUAAAAACAGUGAGACCCUUCAAGGGUGUGCAAUUGUUUAGCAGUUUCAAAGACAACACAGUGUUGUCUGGUACCGCUCAGCUGCAACAGUUUGUGACUGGGUAGGUGAUAGGUAAUUUGCCCUGUAAAGUUUUGUAAGGCAUUUUGUAGCACUGUGCUCUUUGUAAAGCACAUACAAAGUAUUCUUGUUGUACUGGAAUGAUAAUUUUAAAAGGAUCCCUAGCAUUCAGCUGCAAGCAUCUCUGAUGGCAUUUACUAAGUAAUUGUGCAAUCAAUUAAAAAAUAGUGGAUGCUGUCUUUUUAGGUUGGUGGGGCAAAAAGACCCAUUCUAAAAUGUGUAGUGUGUUAGACCACUGAAUGUCCCAUUGACCAAUAACACCUGUAGCAUGUAAAACAGCAAUAACAAUUACUAUUGUAAUAGAAACCUCAGGGCAUAGUCGAUAAACUUGUCUGUUUGUUAUGGCCCACCCUACUGUUUUGAGUGUGGCUUUUGCUUCUGGAAUUAAUUUCCUUGUAGAAGCUAACUCAGGGUCACCUUAAGACUAUUAAAGAAGGGUGAUAACUGUGGGGUAAUUAACCCUAAAUACGGUCGUACCCAGUUGAUGACACCCACAUUUUUUGUGCAUCAUUUAAUGUUUGGAUCUUGGUUGAAAAUUGAAUUGCUUGCGGCUGUACUGUUUGGUCUAAUAUUUUAACUCCUAAGUAUUUCACUGGGAGUUGUUGUUCCACCUUUUCUGAUGCAAUUUGCAACACAAACUCUUGCAGUGCUUGCAUCAAUUUUAGCUGAAUCUGUAUAAGGCCUUCUUUUGUUGAAGUUACUAUUAAAAUGUCAUCCAUGUAAUGAUAACAAUAAGCUCUCAGGAAUUGUUCUCUUACUAUUGAGAAUGCCUGUGCAACAUACCACUGGCAAAUUGUUGGACUAUUUUUCAUACCCUAUUGGCAGCACUUUCCAUUGAUCUUGAGUGGUGCUGCAUGAUUGAUAGAGAACAACUGCAUUAAUUUUUAAGUAAUGGAGUAAACUUCAUUUACCUGAUUUCUUUUUAAUCACACAGGAGUGUUCCAUGGACUUACUGAUGGCUCAAUAUGUCCUUGAUUUAAUUAUUCUUGAACUACCAAUUUAACGGUGUUUAAUUUUUCUUUUUCAAGGGGCCACUGAUCAACCCACAUACAUCAUUCAGUGAGCCACUUUAAGCCUAAUGUAGGAUGCUUUGUGCCCUUCAGCACAGUGGCCCCUGUUAAAAAUUUGUUCCCAGCCAAAUCCCCCAUGCUGACAAGACAUCAUUUCCCCAUAGGCUGAGUGGCACAACAGUAACAUAGGGAUGGAUAAUGGCUGUCUGUCCUUAUCCUUUUAACUAACACAGACUUACUACUCAAGUAACUUUGUGUGGUACCUCCAAGGCCAGCAACAACAGAUCCUACAGCCAUGGUGGGCCAUGAUUGAGGCCAUGUGUUAGCAGAUAUGAUAGUAAUGUCUGCUCCAGUAUCUAUCAUCCCAUUAACCUUGAUGUGGGAUGGAUUUGCCUGAGGCAUUGUAAGAGUACAAACCAUGUUUAGUCUUUGAUCACAUACAACCUGAGUCCAGUAUGCUUGAGAUUCCCCCACUGACCUGAAGCCUUGGUUUCCUCACAGCUUUGAGUCUGUUUUAGGAACAAAAGACUUAAAAGGUACAAGCUGAGCAAUAUGACUUUUAGCUGGAAUGUUUACAGGAGGAGUAGGUGUUGAUACUAUAGCAAAUAUCUAUCCAGUAUAGUCUGCAUCUAUAACUUCAGGGUGGACAAAAAUACCCUGUAAUGUUGCACUUGAUUGUCCUAAUAGUAAUGCACUUAAUCCCUUCCCAGUAGGCCAAUGGGCCUUAAGGCAGAUUUUAUAUACCUUUAGUGAGUCUAUAGUUAUUGUGUGGGCAGUAGAAACACCCAUGCCAGCUGAUCCUCUUCUUUUCCCCUGUCUGUGUGCAACUUUCCCCUUCACACUCUUGUUCCUGUUUCUCCGUCUAUUAAGAGGUUGUCUGUUAGCAUGGAAUUUAGACUUGCAAUGCUUGGCAAAAUGACUGGAUUUUCUGCAUUGGUUACUGUGGUGGCCUACAGCUGGCCUGUAGGCCUCAAAGUAUAAAUAAUUAUAAAAUUACAAGGGAAAUAUGUGAUCAGUUACAUAAUUACCUGACUCCUACAAUUCGGCUGAUAGGAGCAGGCCCAGGCCAUUGGAGACUCAGGCUUCUAUUGGCUGGCUGAGCAGGAAGUAACAGGCUCAGCCAAUGAGGAUUAUCUUCAUGGGCUCCUAAGGUAUAUAAGGGAGCUAGACCUGAAUAAAGUGAAGUCUUGCUGCAUGAACUCAGUGUGUCUUGUCACUGGUGACAGGCUACAGUUUCCCACUAUAGGCACAGAUCUCUGUUUCCGAUGUGUCCCCAAUUAGUUGGACUUACGGGGACAAUUUGCUUUCAUGUGGCCUUGUUGCCCACAUCUAUAGCAUUGGUAUGACAACCUCACAGCAGCUGCCAAAGAAUUAGCUAAUGAAGCCAUGUUAUAGGAUUCAGUUCCAACUUUAGCACAUGCAUCAAUCAUUUAAUCUAAAAACAGAUUUUCUCUUGGUAAUAAGUCUAUAGCUUUCCUACAGUCUUCAUUUGCAUUGUCUCGUGCCAAUUGCAAUAUCAGCUGAUUUUUUUGCAUCGUUAUUUACUAUUUGCUUUUUUAUUGCAUCUUAUUAUCAUUCUGUAAUUUGCAUAUAAGGCUCUUUGGGGCCCUGCUUAAUUGUUGCAUAUUUCUGAGUUGGUGUUGCCAUGUUUGCAACUUUCAUCAGUGCCUGCAUUCCUAAAUCUCUUGCAUGUGCCAAUAUCAAGGGAUAUAGGUGUGCUUGCAGCUGGGUUAUCUAUGGGAGGCAAUCCCAGAAGUUGAGGGACCCCUACCCCAAAGUGUGGAUCUUGCUGCAGCACCUCUAAAUUAUGCAGCCCUUACUCUUCCACAUAUCGCUGUCAGGUGGAUUCAAACAUCAUGUAUUGAGUCAGGGUACAGAGCAACUCAGCCAUUUGUUUGAUAUCAAAGGGUGUCAUUUCAUUGGUAACUAGAAAUCAUAGCAUGUUUGCUAUGGCUGGAGACCCCAGUCCAUGUUUGGUGGCCAGUUGGUAUAACUUGGAAAGAAUUUGCCAUUUAAAGGGCACAUGUAU